GGGCCCGCACAAGCGGUGGAGCAUGUGGUUUAAUUCGAUGCAACGCGAAGAACCUUACCAUCCCUUGACAUCCAGAGAAUUUUCUAGAGAUAGAUUAGUGCCUUCGGGAACUCUGAGACAGGUGCUGCAUGGCUGUCGUCAGCUCGUGUUGUGAAAUGUUGGGUUAAGUCCCGCAACGAGCGCAACCCUUAUCCUUAGUUGCCAGCAUUUAGUUGGGCACUCUAGAGAGACUGCCGGUGAUAAACCGGAGGAAGGUGUGGAUGACGUCAAGUCAUCAUGCCCCUUACAUCCUGGGCUACACACGUACUACAAUGCUACGGACAAAGGGCAGCAAGUUCGCGAGGACAAGCAAAUCCCAUAAACCGUGGCUCAGUUCAGAUCGUAGGCUGCAACUCGCCUACGUGAAGGCGGAAUCGCUAGUAAUCG
rnacentral:rRNA from 1 species